GAGAGACGCCUGGGUGGCGCUGACAUAUUGCCAGUGAGGUGCUGAGCUGUGGCUGGGUCUCACAGGUGCUGCCACCCCAACCCCCACGUGGUAGUGUGUUGGGGGUGGUGCCAAUAGUGGGGGGCAAGGACUCCCUGACAAGAGGCAGGCAGGGGCAAGGCCGGCAGACCCUGGGAGGCUGGGCCCAAGACAACGACCGGGGUCUCCGGAGCUUGAGCUCCUCCAGAACAGCAAGCCCGGGCCCCCAGCCCAUCGCCAGGCAGCUCCUCCAGGAAAGUGUUCCUGGCUGCCCUCGCACAGCAGGCCCCGUAGUAGCAGAGGGAAGCCCGGAAUCAACCGCACGCCACCCCCUCUCCCUGGAGGAGGGGGCCCUGCACAUUGGCCAUCUGCCCUGCCCUCCACCUGCCGUGGGGCGCGCCUGUUAACUCGGGACACUCACCUGCUGGCCACUAGGGGAGCGGGGGCCUUCGGCCAUCUUCCCUCCAGCUGCUCCAGACGGUACCUGGAGGAUCAGGCAGUGGGUGGGGUGAGGCCUGGCAGGGCUGUGGCCCCUGAGCAGGAGGGACUGGGGGCCCUGGCGCUUGCCUGGAGGGCACAGAAGCUCUUCAGCUCCCCAAACAGACUAUAGCCCAGGGCCACCCAGGUACUCGGUCAGCAUGAAGAGGCUGUCCCCGACCCCCACGGUGCAGGGGCCUGGGAUGGGCAGCUGGUGUCUCCGUGGCUGUGUGCUGGCUGGAGCUUUGCAGGGGAGAUGGGAGCAGACAGCACAGUUGCAGAAGAGGGAAGGGAGGGCUCAGGGGAGGGGCCGGCGGGGAGCCCCCACUUGCGGUGUGCAGCCCUCAGGGCUCGAGCGGGGCCCUGACCGCUGCCCCCACAGCUGUGCUCUUGUUCAUGAGGAUGAAGGGUCUCCUGGGAGCCUCCCUCUCAGCGCUGCCCAUGGCUGAGUCGGUACCCAAGAGCCCCUACAUGCGCUGCCUCAGCCCCUCACCACCACUCUACCACCCCUGCAGAGGCCUGGCAGAGCCUGCCCCCCCAGUCACUCACGUUCCUUCUGGGCCUCCCAGCAAAGGGUGGCGGGACACACCCUCUGGGAGGGUUAUUUGUGUCUCUCAGGAGGGACAGGCCUGCACAUCCUCCCACCCGUCCCCAGCGACUGCCCCUCCAGCUGCUCCAGCCCAUCCUUCCCUCAGUGACGUGUGCCUGCCCAAUCCCCCAGGAGCCUCCACCUCCAGCCUGCACCCUCAGGCUGGGCAGUCCCCCAACAGCAGGCGAAGCUCACACACCACCACAUCGGCCUGCUCGGGGCAGGAGGAACUGCAGGGGAAACCUGGCUGACCCCGCGGUUCAGAGCAUCAGCUGCGGGCCCAGUGAGCGGCGUGGAGACGCGUGGCUUCUCGGCCGCCAAGAUGCACAUGCUGAAGCCUGUGAGGACAUCAGACCCAGCAUGGGGACAGUCACAGCAGGGAGGGCCUGUGCCCACCAGAAGCAUCAAGGUCUGAGGAAUCAGCGAAGACAGAGGCAGGCUCCGAUGGAAGGAGACUAGAGGGGUGCAGCGGCCAAACCCCACAGGGACCGGACCGUGCCCUUCCUCGACGGAGCACGUCCCCGGCACGAUGGCUGGGCCAGGAACAGGGCUGCGUGUCACACGUUCUUUGUCCUGUGUUUGCAACUUUUCUCCAAGUAUAAAAUUCACUUAUGUAUGUGCUUAUAUUUUUCAAAAAGAAACAAAAGGUAGAAUAAACCGAAAUUAAUAAAGCUGGUAGCCUCAGAGCAGAGA